rnacentral:rRNA from 1 species
AGGUUUCUUUGGGUUGACCUGCGGGAGGAUCAUUACUGAGUGAGGGCCCUCUGGGUCCAACCUCCCACCCGUGUUUAUUGUACCUUGUUGCUUCGGUGCGCCCGCCUCACGGCCGCCGGGGGGCUUCUGCCCCCGGGUCCGCGCGCACCGGAGACACUAUUGAACUCUGUCUGAAGAUUGCAGUCUGAGCAUAAACUAAAUAAGUUAAAACUUUCAACAACGGAUCUCUUGGUUCCGGCAUCGAUGAAGAACGCAGCGAAAUGCGAUAACUAAUGUGAAUUGCAGAAUUCAGUGAAUCAUCGAGUCUUUGAACGCACAUUGCGCCCCCUGGUAUUCCGGGGGGCAUGCCUGUCCGAGCGUCAUUGCUGCCCUCAAGCACGGCUUGUGUGUUGGGCUCCGUCCCCCCGGGGACGGGGUCCGAAAGGCAGCGGCGGCACCGAGUCCGGUCCUCGAGCGUAUGGGGCUUUGUCACCCGCUCUGUAGGCCCGGCCGGCGCCAGCCGACAACCAAUCAUCCUUUUUUCAGGUUGACCUCGGAUCAGGUAGGGAUACCCGCUGAACUUAAGCAUAUCAAUAAGCGGAGGAA